rnacentral:misc_RNA from 1 species
UCUCCGUAGGUGAACCUGCGGAGGGAUCAUUACUGAGUGAGGGCCUUCGGGCUCGACCUCCAACCCUUUGUGAACACAACUUGUUGCUUCGGGGGCGACCCUGCCGUUUUGACGGCGAGCGCCCCCGGGGUCAAUCAAACACGGCAUUCUCUGCGUCGGAGUAUUAGUAAAUCUAAUCAAAACUUUCAACAACGGAUCUCUUGGUUCCAGCAUCGAUGAAGAACGCAGC